UUUGCCCUGCCGCGUGCGUGAUGUCUGAGAAAGUUCUGAGCCUACAUUCACACAUGAGGGAGUCCAACUCUUUUGCCGGGACGCCGUCUGUUGAGGCCUUCAUCGGAUUUUCCAGGUUUACCUGGAUAACAACAGUGGCGCGAGGGCGAGGAGCGGCACCCACCUGCGCUAAGCGGGUUCAGUAACUUGACGAUACACGGCGUAGCGGGGCAUUU
rnacentral:other from 1 species